CCUACGGGAGGCAGCAGUGAGGAAUAUUGGUCAAUGGGCGCGAGCCUGAACCAGCCAAGUAGCGUGAAGGAUGACUGCCCUACGGGUUGUAAACUUCUUUUAUAAAGGCAUAAAGUGAGGCACGUGAGCCUUUUUGUAUGUAUUUUAUGAAUAAGGAUCGGCGAACUCUGUGCCAGCAGCCGCGGUAAUACGGAGGAUCCGAGCGUUAGCCGGAUUGAGUGGGUUUAAAGGGAGCGUAGAUGGGUUGUUAAGUCAGUUGUGAAAGGUUGCGGCUCAACCGUAAAAUUGCGAUUGAUACUGGCAGCCUUGAGUACAGUUGAGGUAGGCGGAAUUCGUGGUGUAGCGGUGAAAUGCUUAGAUAUCACGAAGAACUCCGAUUGCGAAGGCAGCUUACUAAACUGCCACUGACAUUGAUGCUCGAAAGUGUGGGUAUCAAACAGGAUUAGAUACCCCUGUAGUC
rnacentral:rRNA from 1 species